AUUUAUGUUUUCUUAUGUUUUCAUUAAUGUCGACUGAUUUUUAGGUUGAUAUUGACCAUUUAAACUCUUCAACUUCUAAUCCUAGCCCUUUAAAUUUCAUUUUUCCUUCUUGAAGCGACAGUUGGCAGUUUCUCUGGUGGUUUACACACUCUCUCACCCCCUUGCAGUUCUCGUCCCACUCUCCUGCUCCUUCUCCUAUUUCCUUGCACUAACUGCCCAUCCAAACUUUCAUCUUCGAGAUUUUUGUUUAUGGUGGACCUAGAACAAAUUAAUCACAGCCCGUGGAUCAUGCUGAAACAAAAUCACAGCCGUUUAGAUUACAAAUUUUCUUCUAGAAGCGGAGGUUUAAAACAGUUUCACUCCUACGCUCCCACUAACUCCAUUCAGUUUCUCACAGUUUUCUUCCAUGUAACGAUAUAUCUCAAUUUCUUCUUCAUUAUCUCCACCAUGGUUCCGCUCCAGCACUUUCAACCCUAAAUUUAUGGUUUCCGUUCGAAGUUGAGAGGGUUUACUUGGACGACUCCCUCAGUGCCUUGGUGAAAAUAAGCUAGUGUUAUCUCUUUUUAUUUCUCUUCUUUAUUUAUUUUUCUUAUAUGUAGCUAUGUGAAGUUUGUUUAGGGUUUACUUUUGGAACGCACUUUUGUUGCUUUUUAUCUGAUAUUAAUGGUGAUUUUUUUUUACUUUUGAUAUGGUAACUUUUGUUGUGAUUAAUGCAGAUUGUGUAAGAUAUCUUUUGUCCCAAUAUAUUAGAUAUGUUUGAACCCAGAGUAUUAUUGCUAAAUCUUGAAGAAUCAUAAUAAGGUAGUUAGCACUUGUAUACUGCAAUCACAGGCACACUCUGUUCUUGAUCCUGAGGGUUGCUCUGUUUGACAUUUAUUACCAUAAUGGAGUAGCAGCAGCAACUCAUAUGGAUCAUUAAAACGUUGGUGAGUAAUGGCAUUAAUCUUGUCGUCUUCAUGCUCCUUUGGAAGGGUACAUAUCAGCCACUCAAAGUGCCUUGAUCAAGACUGAAAGAUACUUGCUAGAGAUUUUGGGCAAGUACAAAAAUCAAUGCAUUCAGUUAUAUCAACGAACAAAAAAAGAGAUACUCGAUACUACGCUAAAUGAAUUCUCAGAGGGUUAUUUUAGUUUUUCUAAAGAAAACCGCCACAAAUUUCUACUCAUUUGUGCUUGAGAGUGUGAUCUUAAUUGGACUAAAGUUUGGGGCUUGAUGAAGCACUAUGUUGGUCUUGAGAUCCCUAAUGAAUUGAAAGAAAUCGAAAGGGUCAUUAUACAUCCUGACGGUUUGAAGUUUUUGGUCUCUAUUUGUGCUUUAUUAUCGUGUUCACUAUAACACAAGGAAACUUGGUACAGAUGGGAUGGUCUACACAAUGCAGACCCGACACAACCUCAACGAAGAGGUUUUAAUAUGCAUGGUCUUUUCAAGAAACACAAAUUAGAGGGCAGAGAAGAAGUUGAAGAAAGUGAAAAUAUGCAUUGCCUUUUCAAGAAAUUAAUACAAGUUAGGCUAUGAAGAGGCUAUGAAGGUGGAUAACAUGUUGAAAAUCAAAGAAUGCAAUUACAAACGUUGUGUAAAAGGCUUGAGGUACAUAUUCACAAACUGAUUGCAGAAAUGAAAGACAUGAUAAAGCAUUUAAGGAUGAAGUUGAAAGGACAACAAUAUAAGCACAAGAGUGUAUAUCUAAGGCUGAAAUCAAUUGUACAGACUACAUAAGCUUUAGAGGCGACUCGAAGGAUAAGCCCGGAGACCAAGCCGGAGUGGAUAAUCGACAAAAAGGGAAGCAUUAAGCUUUUAGGAUGAUGCUAGCUAGUGGAUGAUGAUCAAGCCAAUACUACCGAACCGAACACAUUCAAGAUCUUAUUCCGCAUCUUUUGUCAUUAUUAGUUAUUAAUAUAACUUAUGUAAUUAAAGGAAUACUUAUGUAUCCUAAUAAUGUUUUGAACGUUUGUUAAACUCGUAAGAACUAAGUUUAAUGUCAAUGUAAAUGGUUUGACUUGGUGUUUAUAAAGAAUAGUUCUAUUU